rnacentral:rRNA from 1 species
UAACACGUGGGUAACCUGCCCAUCAGAGGGGGAUAACAUUCGGAAACGGAUGCUAAAACCGCAUAGGUCCUUUAACCGCAUGGUUGAAGGAGGAAAAGAGGCGCAAGCUUCUGCUGAUGGAUGGACCCGCGGUGCACUAGCUAGUUGGUGAGGUAACGGCUCACCAAGGCCGUGAUGCAUAGCCGACCUGAGAGGGUGAUCGGCCACAUUGGGACUGAGACACGGCCCAA